CAGUCGCCACGGUAAUACGUAGGGUGCAAGCGUUAAUCGGAAUUACUGGGCGUAAAGCGUGCGCAGGCGGUUAUAUAAGUCAGAUGUGAAAUCCCCGGGCUCAACCUGGGAACUGCAUUUUAGACUGUAUGGCUAGAGUGUGUCAGAGGGGGGUAGAAUUCCACGUGUAGCAGUGAAAUGCGUAGAUAUGUGGAGGAAUACCGAUGGCGAAGGCAGCCCCCUGGGAUAACACUGACGCUCAUGCACGAAAGCGUGGGGAGCAAACAGGAUUAGAUACCCGGGUAGUCCCUGUCUCUUAUAC
rnacentral:rRNA from 1 species